CAGGCUUACAGUGGUACCUCAGGUUACAGACGCUUCAGGUUACAGACGCUUCAGGUUACAGACUCCACUAACCCAGAAAUAGUACCUCGGUUUAAGAACUUUGAUUCAGGAUGAGAACAGAAAUCGCGCAGCGGCAGCGCGGCAGCAGCGGGAGGCCCCAUUAGCUAAAGUAGUGCUUCAGGUUAAGAACAGUUUCAGGUUAAGAACGGACCUCCGGAACGAAUUAAGUACUUAACCCGAGAUACCACUGUAUUGUAACAACCUGCAGUUUUAUAUGAGUAUAUAUUUAAAGAAGAUGAAUAAACUAGCAAAUUAAGUUAAUCUGGAUAUGUGGAAGAUAUUAAAAGCAAAUUUAAGGAACCGCAGAAAGGGGGGGAAUGGAAGUCACAUUUUGAAAUGUCAAAAUGAAUGUAAAAUUAGUGAAAUGUAUGAAAGUAGUGAAAUGCAAAAACUUGAAAAGUAUAAAUAAAUACCUCUGAGUUUGCGGGCGGAGGGGGAACAACAUACCUGGAGCAGCCCAGGUUUCUCAUCCCUAGGUUAGAACGUCAAGUUGGCUUGACCCUGAACUGAUUCCAUUCAUUAUUGCAUGGUUACAGCCACAAGAUCCAGAGGACUGAAGGGAAGGGCUGGAUUUAUUUUUGUGGGGGGCUUUUGUAGAAGGCAAAAGCAACACACACUCCUGGUGCUAUUUCUGACUUAUGCAAAGCCAAUGAUGUUAAGUGUGAAGCCUUACCAAUGGGGCUGGAGCUCAUAGCUACAUCUUUUCCUCCAGAGCAUCUUAAUGUUUGCAAGUGUCAAUGUCUGGCACUGCUUACUUCCUUUACUAAAGCUCAUAUUUGCUUUAGGGUCCCAUGGAAUACAAGCACCUCUCCUCUGAAGGUAAUUGUUGCAAAAGUAAUUUUAAUCCUCAUUUCUUUCUGUCCUUAUAACACAUGACCUCGUAUGACCGGGCAUGAAGCUGCGGUUGUAAUUACUGAUGUAAUGACUUGGUUUUUUUAUUAUUCACUGCAGCCGUGCCCUGUUAGAUGUUUCCUCUUACAUGGGCCUUUUAGCAUGAAUUUGUUUGAUCCCUCUUUUUGAAGAGGCUCAUCCAUAUUUCCAAUUCGUUUGCCAAAGUAUUUGGAAGCACAGAGAUGGGUGGAAAGAUUUUGAUUUUCCAUGCUUUAAAGCUGACAACAAUAUUUUGCUUGGGAUGUAGUUUGUUUUGGCUACCGUAGGCUUAAACCAUGCCAAGAGCUUUAGUUAGUAGUGAGGUCGUGCGGCGGUGUCUCAUUUGGUCUGGAAGAUGUCCAAAACAUUUCAGUAAUCAGGUGCUUGGAAAAGGAAACUGUUUACAAAAGGUGACAUUGAGCUAAAUGGUGGAUAGAGCAAAUUUGGAUAACGAGGAGUUUUAUGUAAUAGAGCUUUGACGACAUCUGCAAAUGGCAUAGCAUCUCAGCUCGGAAUGAUCUCCGGCCGUUGCUCUUAAAUUUUGGAGACAUAUAAACCAUUAACAGUCUGCUCCUGUGUGUGCCUACUCAAACGUAAUCCCAUUAGGUUCAGUGGGACUUACUCCCAGGUAAGUGAGGACAGGAUUGCCAUCUGAAUAAGUGUUCCAGUUAUCUCUGCCACCUAAGCUGCUCUUUUGAUUUAGGAAGUGUUCUGUGUUUUAAUAAUAGUACAAACGAGGAGGUUUAGAGAUAUUUGUGAGGGUAUCUGCCAUUGUUAAAGAUGGACUUUCCGAUUAACUGAGUAAGUUUUGAUCUUUGGACUGCAUCCUUGGUUCUUCCAUAGAUGUCGAACUCAUGUUUUGUUUUGCUUUAUUAGCUUUUAAAGAUAAAUAGCUCCUUUGAAACAGGAUUGCAUUCUCUCUCUCUCUCUCUCUCUCUCUCUCUCUGUUUAUUCAGCAUCCUAAAAAGUGACCUCAUCUAAUGACUUUGCCCCAGAUAUGAUUGAAGUUUGUCAGACACUGAUGAAGUGGCAAAAUAACUUGUUUAAAAAUGCCACUCCCGGGACAUUAGUAACCUUGGGGGGAAAUGCUCAUUUGUGUGUCCUGUAGGUCCUAUGUUCCAGGAGAACCCAGCCUGGGGUGGGACAAUAUGUGGUCUCCAAGAAGCUGAUUAAAUGGGAAUGGGCAAGAAGCUCUGAAGACUUUGGAGAGGAAUAGCUUGUUUCUUUUGAUUUCCAUUUGGCCAUAACUUGAAGUGAAGGGCAGGGAUUUGUAUGCUACUCCCAUCAUAGCUCUGCGACUUCAGGUGUUUGCUGUUGUUGCUGUUUAUCAGCCUAUCAGUGCAUAUGGUACUGUAAAAAUGGCAUCUGCAGCAGUUGAGUUUUUGAAGAGUUUGCAGUCAAAAAUUUGUCCAUUAGAUCAGACACAGCAGACACUUCUCUCUCCAGUUCUUGUCUGGCUGAUAACAGAUACUUUAUCAGUUCUCACUGCUAGUUGAAAUCUUCCUGGAACAUGCUCAACCCUUUGAUCGGACCGCAAACUACAGAACAUCAUCUGCUUCACUGCUGCUCAGGGUCCUAUUUGGAAUUGCAUGAAUCGUUAUUAAACAACAAAGAUUGUGGCAUCCUGGAAGACAUAGCUUCAGUGCCAUUUCUUAAAUACCUCUAAUGUCCAAAAUAUUUAGUUUAUCCAGAAUUUACUCUGCUAGAGCUUCAGCUAAGAAGGGACAGUGGAAGAAGACCACUGAGAUGCUUGAGAUGCAACAAGCUUCAAAAAUUAAUAAUAAAUUGACUUGUGUGUUUCUUUAAAUCUUUGAUGUUCUCGUCAGUCGAAGCACUGAGCAGGAAAAAGAAAGCAAACUGCCUCACUGUUGAUGUCAGACUUGACACCAACACACACACACACACACACAAACACAUUUCAGUCUCAGAUGAGUUGUUGACACCGCAAUUGAGACAUUCAAGGGAACCAGAGAACGGUGACUGCUUUCGUCAACGGCUCAUUUUGACUCACCUUCCAAAUAUGCAGAAACAGCUCCGCCGUAAUCUGCCUCAGUAUGACGUAGUUCACUUCUGUGUUAAUGGCUUUAUCACAUAUUUAUACACUUUAUUUUUAUUUAGCUGCUGUACGCUCCUAAGAGAGUUCUUAAUAAUAAUACUGUAUAUGGUAGUGUAAUGCAGUAUAGAGUUGUUGGAGAGGUUUGACUAUUUGCCACUGUACAAUGUAUUUGUUUGUUUUUUAAGAAGUGUGAAAUCCAAAGCAUAAUUAUAGUCCUUUCUAUGUAACCACCUGGGAGGUGUGAAUUAGGUUGGUGCAUUUUAAACCACAUUCUCCUUCAAUCUACAGUGGUACCUCGGUUUAAGAACAGUCCGGUUUAAAAAUGAUUUGGUUUACAAACUCCACAAAACCGGAAGUAGUGUCCCAGUUUGCGAACUUUACCUCAGUCUAAGAACAGAAUCCAAACGGUGGAAGGGCACUGGCGGCAGGAGGCCUCAUUAGGUAAAGAGCGCCUCAGUUUAAGAAUGGUUUCGGUUUAAGAACGGACUUCCAGAACGGAUUAAGUUCGUAAACUGAAGUACCACUGUAGUUAAGUGUCCCGUGUGUUCGUGUCAUGGGUCAGGAGUCAGAUUCACCUGCUGAGCAGCAGCGUGAAGGAGCAGAAGGCGAAGUGACUCCACCUGCUGCUGAUCAGCCUUCUUGCUCCUGGUGUGAACCAACUGGUUCCAGCUUUCUUUUGAAAUCCUUUUUAUUUGAUUUUACAAAUGCAAAUUAAUUACAAUGCCAAAUGCAUAACCAUAAAAGGCAAUUUCUCUGAAUCUCGCGACUUCCCCCACCCCCUCCCUGGGUCCUGUUUUCAACAUUUCCAACUGCAUAUCAUUUCAUAGUCCAUAUUUUAAAUCUGUCCAUAUUGUCCAUAGUACCUGUUACAUUACAAGAAUUAUUAAAAUCCUGCUAAUGUUUUCAUCUGCUUAUAGUGGUCUCCUAAAUAAAUUGUAAAUUUCCCCAUUCUUUUUUCUUUUCUUUCUUUCUUUCUUUUUUUUUUUUUUGGUCUUCUUGGUUCUUGAGCUUUCCAGUCAGUUUUGCAUAGUCCCACAGCUUGGUUUGCCAUUCCACUCUGGCAGGGACUCUUUCUUCUUUCCAUUUCUGGGCUAAUAGCAUCCAUGCUGCUGUUGUCGCACACAUAAAGUCUUUUCAGCUCCUUUGGAAUUUCAGUACCUAUAAUUCCUAAUAAAAAAGCUUUUGGUUUUUUAACAAAAAAUAUUUUAAACUUAUUUUACUUUUUUAAAUUAAUUUUUUUAUUGAGUUUUGUGCAAAUACAAACAAGACUCAACAUAAAUCUACAGAAAACAAAGCAAAAAGCAAAAAACAAAAACAGCAAGGGAAAAAAGGAAAAACAAAACCAUGAACAAAAAUGAAGUGAAAUUAACUAUGCAAUACUAUCCCAAAACAUCAAUUCUCAAACAAAAUAUUUCCCCUUUUGGAAUAGAUCUCUUUACUUAUUCUAUUUAUUUUCGACUUCCAUUUACCUCACCACAAUUCAUUCUAUCUGAUACGGUUUUUCCUGUAUUUCAAUUCAUGUCCUCAUCUUGGUAUAAGGAAACAUUUUUUCUAUUUACGGAUUUAUUCUAGGCACAACCAAAUUUUGCUUGUUGAACCUUGUCUCAUUAGAUAAGUGUUAAAGCAAAAGUAAUUUUAAACAUUUUUUUAUUUCAUUAUAUAUCAUCUCCCAGAAAGCUCUUAUUUCCUUACACGACCACCACAUAUGAUAAAAGGUACCUUCUUUCUCUUUACAUUUCCAGCAGGUAUUUGUACUUGUUCUAUACACUUUUGCUAACUUAAAGGUAAAGGUAAAGGGACCCCUGACCAUUAGGUCCAGUAGUGACCGACUCUGGGGUUGCGGCGCUCAUCUCACUUUAUGGGCCGAGGGAGCCGGCGUACAGCUUCUGGCGAACCAGAGCAUCGCAUGGAAAUGCCGUUUACCUUCCUGCUGGAGCGGUACCUAUUUAUCUACUUGCACUUUGACAUGCUUUCGAACUGCUAGGUUGGCAGGAGCAGGGACAGAGCAACGGGAGCUCACCCCAUCGCGGGGAUUCGAACCACCGACCUUCUGAUCGGCAAGCCCUAGGCUCUGUGGUUUAACCCACAGCGCCACCCGUGUCCCUCUAACUUACUAGGAGUCAACUUACUAGGAGUUAACUUACUAGGAGUCAAAUACCACCGGUACAUCAUUUUCAUAUAAUUUUCCUUCAGUGUACAACAUGCCGUAAAUGGCUCUAGCUUUCUUAAGUCACCCUGGAGCUGACUGAACUGCUGGCUUUAGCUCCCUUUUGUAUCUCUGGAGCAGACCGGAACAAAGCCUGCUCCAACAUGGUUUGCUCCUGUUGUCCCGCCCGCCAGGCGCCAUGGAUAGGCUGGAAUUUGAAUCGUGUUUGGCAGGAACCCGUGAGGCACCGCAGUGGCCAGGAGAGCAGAGCAACAGCCGGAAGAACUGCGUGGCCUCAAGAGGACGGAGAAGCCGCGUGCCAUGCCCCAAAUGUAGCCCACCAGUGGACCUGGUGAGCAGCCAUUCUUAAUCAGGGUUUUCAGCCUCCAUCAGUUGCUAGGAACAAUAAAGAUAUCGUAAUCGUAAUCGAACAACAUUUGGCGUUCCUGGCCAGACCUCGCUGCUUCUUGCUUCUCGUGGCCUUGAACCCUUGGCUUUCCUGACCCCUGGAUCAUCUGACUAUGUGAACUGAGAUACUCCUGACCUUAGGACUGGACCUUGCAUACGGACUCUGCCUCCAGGCAAGAACCCCCCUGAGACUCGACUGGUUGGCUGGCUUCUCCCUCCACUGAGCUCUGCCAUGGCUGGCAGCACAGGACUACGACAGUUAGGGAACCUGGAGACAAUAUGUUGCUCAUCAAAUUGCUAAAGGCACUUUCCCCUGUCUUCUUGCUCUGUCUUGUAGGUGGUGGUGAUGUAAUCUAGGUGUCUUUAUGCGUGUCACAAAGAAGAACAGACUGAGUGAGGCAGAGAUACACACAGACCCAGUGACCUCAUUGAAAGAAAGAGGAAGAAGAGGAGGAAGAAGAAGAAGAAGAAGAAGAAGAAGAAGAAGAAGAAGAAGAAGAAUUAUUUAUUAUUUAUACCCCAUCCAUCUGGUUGGGUUUCUCUAGCCACUCUGGGAAGCUCCCAACAGAAUAUUAAAAACAUAAUAAAAUAUCAAACAUAAAAAACUUCCCUAAACAGGGUUGCCUUCAGAUGUCUUCUAAAGUCAGAUAGUUUAUUUCCUUGACAUCUGAUGGGAGGGUGUUCCACAGGGCGGGCGCCACCACCAAGAAGGCCCUCUGCCUGGUUCCCUGUAACCUCACUUCUCACAGUGAGGGAAACGCCAGGAGGCCCUCAGAGCUGGACUUCAGUGAAUGAAGGGUGUGGAGAGGCUCCUUCAGGAACCUGGGUACAAACUAUACCACUGGAGUUCUCACCGCUUGGAGAAUCGGGGCAUGCAUAAUGUAAUUUAUAAAGCCACUGUACUGUGCCCCCAAACCCUGGUUUAGCAUUGGCUUGGUUCACAUGUCACACUAAGGCAAAAUUUGGCCUAGCGUGAGUACACAGGCUCCCAGGGAGGAGACUGCAGCUAUUUUCUCCUACCCAGCCAUUCUGCUGCUGCACAAAGCUAAGCUAAGCCAUGCCAUCUGAAUGCGGGGUUGUGGUUUAGUUCUCUCGAGAUUAACAAGCUAUAGCCAAGGUUUGUUCUUGGUUUACUGCUUGCAUCAGAAGAGCUAAACCAUGUGCCGUGGUUCGGACAACAUGCUCAGCCAAGUCAUCGAAUCAAAGAAUUGUUGAGUUGGAAGGGAUCCCAAGGGGCAUUUCGUCCAACCCCCUGCAAUGCAAGAUUCUCAGCUGAAGUAUCCAUGACAGAUGUCCAUCCAACCUCUGCUUAAAAACCUCCAAGGAAGGAGAGUCCACAACCUCCCGAGGGAGACUGUUCCAAGUCAUGAAUUAGCUCAGGGCAGUAAGCCUGCGGUUUAUGUGCAUUUAACUAACUCUCUCUCUCUCUCUCUCUCUCUCUCUCUCUCAUCUUUACAUCUUUAAAAAGUACAUAAUUUUAGAUGCACUAAACAUGGUGAGACGUAAAUAAAAGAAAGAGAAACAGAAACAGAACCGUGUAGAAGGGAAAAUUAAGGGGGGGGGACACCCAAAACUGUAUAUUUUGCAAGGUUGUUGUUGUACUUCACCAGAUCUUAACCUAUUACAGAAUUUGUAAGAAUGGAUUCCAAAUAUCAUUGAAUUUGUCCAUGGCAAGCCUGCGUUUAUAUGCAAGUUGUUCAUAUGUUUCGAGUUUGUAUAAGUCUUCAAUCCAAUUGUAGAAGGGAUUUUUAUUUUUAUAAAAUAAAAUUUUUAUUUUCCCAAUUCAUCAGUAUCAGUCUUUUUGCUGUGGAAGGGGCACAGAGAGUCCACACAUAUUGUCCUUUUGUAAGGUACCAUGUGCUGGGUAUAUAAUUCAACAGGAUAUUUUGCUCUGUAAAUGUAAGGUUGUUCCGUACAGUUCUGUUGAUAGUUUCAGUUACAUUCUGCCAAAAAUCUUUCAAUACAGGACAAUGAAAAAAACAUUCUUAGAGAAGCAUUAUCCCUGUUGCAUCUCCAACAGUUUCAAACAAACGUAAUGGGGACCAGUAUAUUCUAAAUGUUAUUUUUCGUUGUAUGUGCAUUUAACUUGUGUGCAGUUAGCUUUAUGCACAUCACAAAAAUAAAGAAAGAAAGGGGUUGUAAAGGGAACAGCCAUCUGGUGAAGAAGACUUUGGCAAUUCCACCCACCAUUGAACCCAAUGGUUGUUUUUAUUUUGCUACACUUGAUUUUAGCUUUAGGCACAAUCCCCAGAACAUAACGCAUGUGUAUGUUGCAGGGUUACUGUACAACAGCAAAGAAGGGGAGCAAAGCAACCACAGCCUGCUCUCUGGGAGCCCACACCUUUGCAUGUUCGUUGUAAGCCAUGGUUUGGCUUCGCAUGUGGUGUGAACCAAGCCGUUGUGCGUUGCGAUGAUCCACAGAAAAAGCAGUCGGGAUUCCCUAACGUUAGCACUUAUGUGCUGGUAAAGAGGAACUGGGGGUGUGUUGGGAACUUGCUUUGGAAGAAAGAGACAAAUGUUUUAAGACAAUAAAUAAAUUGAUGAUUAUGAUGCGUCCAAUGUUAUAGCUAAUAUUGUGGUACAUGCUAUCCUAUACAUUUCAUGCUGCCAUGGUGAGCCUUAGGAUCAGACCGUUAUUUAAUAUGCAUUUGUUGAGUGAAUUUAAAAAUCACUAUAUCGCUACUGGAAAUGCUGUGUAUGUCAUAUGUAUUUGCUUAGCAUAAGACACCCUGCCAGGAAUGUUAAAUAGGCUGUUGUGUUUACAACUCUCUGAGAUGGAAGGAGAUCAAAAACUGAAAAUAGCUGCAAGUUGUACAGUAUUUGAAGAAGCUUAAUGUACUUUCUGCCUAUUUUGAAUCAAGAUCAGUAUGAACAGCAAAGGAAUGGAAAUCUGAACAGUGUGGCUUUCAUAAUUUUUUUGUUCGCCGUUGAAGUCAGGCCAGGAACAGACCAAAAUAUAGUUGCUAGGGAUGGGCGCGUUUUCGCUGAAAUGGGUCAAAAGGGUGCAAUCCUAAUUUCCUCUGAUUUCCCUGUAAAAAGACACCAUUUCUGCCUCUUAUGUUUAUUUUCUCUUGGGAAACUUUUGUUUGGCUUACAAAAAUACUGUGCAGAGCUCUCUCUCUUAAGAAGUGGAAGCCAAAAUACCUGGGAUGCUCAGUGUUCUGUACUUGUGUUUUGCACGUUUAGCUUAGCUUUACGGUGCAAUGACGUCUUACAAAUGAACAUGUUGCAUUUCGUGGAAUGAAGGGCUCCUAAUCAGAAACUGUUUAGGACGAGGCCGAUGAGUACUUUACAUGAACGUAUAGCUGUGGUGAAGUCUGGGGAAGUUUACAUGUGUCAGCUGUGUUCAUAGAUUUGGCUGAAUGUAUGGAAGUUUAGGAAUGGGGCCAGCUCCCCUUUGCAUACAUAUAUUCAUGGAGCUCUCUCUCUCUCUCUCUCUCUCUCUCUCUCUCUCUCUCUGUGUGUGUGUGUGUGUGUGUGUGUGUAAAUAGCCUGUCAUGAGCCCUUUUCAGGAGUUAACUUGUACAAAACAAAUACCGUAUUUUUUGCAGCAUAACACUCACUUUUUCCCUCCUAGAAAGUAAGGGGAAAUGUCUGUGCGUGUUAUGGAGCGAAUGCCUACGGGUGGCGGGGGUGAUCUGCUGCAGUUGUGAGCAGAGGAUCCAUGGUUCCCCUUCCUUCCCUCCUCCAUGGCUCGCUUUGAAACAGCAAAGCGGGAGAAGAGCCGCUGAGUGGGGAGGAGAGAGGGACAGAGAGCCUGCUUCUUUAAAGGAGCAAAGCGGGAGAGGAGAGGAGUCCAGUUGGCUCCUUUAAUGCAAGCAGGCUCUCUGUCCCUCUCUCCUCCCCACUCAGCUCGCUAAAUAGCAUUAUUAGCAGCAUCCUUCUCCACACACUCCAUGCGUGCUCCUUGUCCCUUGAGUGCUUUUCCUUCCCUCCCCACUUAAAACGUAGUUACAAAGCACGGAUCCACAUGGAUCCUCAGGAUUUUUGCACUGGGUCACCCCAAAUUCACCAUCAGAUCACAUAGCAUGUCCAUGGCUACAUCUUGCACCAAAAUCACGCACCCACUGUUGCCUGGGGUCGCAGUGGUGCAAAAACGUGGUUACAAAGCAUGGAUCCACAUGGAUCCUCAGGAUUUUUGCAUUGGGCUACUCCAAACUCACCGUCAGAUCACAUGUCUGUGGCCACAGCAUGAACCACAAAAAUCAUACAUCCACUGUUUCAUUUAGAAUAUUUUUUUUCUUGUUUUCCUCCUCUAAAAACUACGUGCGUGUUAUGGUCUGGUGCGUGUUAUAGAGCGAAAAAUACGGUAUAUGGGGAAAGGCUCAACUCCCCGCCCCUGGAAUUUCUGUAGGAAAACUAUAGGUAGGGAGGCUCCCCUUAGAUGUUUGAUACUGAACGCACACAGAUUUGGGGUGGAACCUGCCUCCUGUAUGCAUAUUUGUUAUAUAAUAUUUUCAAAAAUAAUUGUUAAUUGUACCCUGUCCACCUUGCUGGGUUUCCCCAGCCAUUCUGGGCGGCUCACAACAGAAUAUUAAAAACACAAUAAAACAUCAAACAUUAAAAGCUUCCCUAAGCAGGGCUGUCUUCAGAUAUCUUCUAAAAGUCAGAUAGUUGUUUAUUUCCUUGAUAUCUAGUGGGAGGGCGUUCCACAGGGCGGGUGCCACUACCGAGAAGGCCCUCUGCCUGGUUCCCUGUAACCUCACUUCUUGCAGUGAGGGAACCACCAGAAGGCCCUCGGAGCUGGACCUCAGGGUCCAGGCAGAAUGAUGGGGGUGGAGACGCUCCUUCAGGUAUACAGUGGUAUCUCGGGUUAAGAACUUAAUUCAUUCUGGAGGUCUGCUCUUAACCUGAAACUGUUCUUAACCUGAAGCACCAUUUUAGCUAAUGGGGCCUCCUGCUGCCGCUGCGCCACUGCUGCACGAUUUCUGUUCUCAUCCUGAAGCAAAGUUCUUAACCUGAGUAAUAUUUCUGGGUUAGCGGAGUCUCUAACCUGAAGCAAAUGUAACCUGAGGUACCACUGUACUGGAAUGUCUUUAGGAAAGCAUGUCCAAAAUCCAUUUCAGGGGCCUAAUCCGGUCCGCCGGUCGGUUUAAUCCUAAAAAAACCUCAACAGCUUCAAUCCUAAAAAAACCUCAACAACCUCAACCCUAAAAAAAGCUCAAAAACUUCAAUCCUAAUUCAAUCCUAAAAAAGGAUCAACAACUUUGGUUGGCCCUUUGGUCAGCCCUCACAGCCCUUCACUUCAUCAAAUCUGGCCCUCUUUGAAAGAACUUUGGACACCGCUGCCUUAGAUGCUUGAAUGCGCAGAGAUUUGGGGCGAAACUUGCCUCCUGCAUGCACAUUCAUUCUACAGAAAUAAAUAGCCUAUGUCUGAAAAGGGCUAUAGUCUGGGCCUACAGAAUUUGCUUGACUACAACACCCAUCAAUCCUGACCAUUGACCAUGCUGACUAGGGCUGCUGGGAAUUGAAGUACAGCCACCUUUGGAGGUUCUCUACCUGUGGUCUAUAAGAAUGGAGAUUUUAAUCAUCCCUAAGGCAUCUUAAUAUGGGUUUUGGAGGAUAGGGGUUCAGUCCAUCCGUUCCCCACAAUCUGCACAGAAGCAGUGGCCUCUGCUAAUCUCUUAAUAAUGGCAGAUAAGAGUAUUUGUGAGUUGGGGCAAUCCUGUAUCUUGGAUGGAGGGGAGGUUGUAGUCUCUGCCUGCCCCUCCAAACGCUGGGGUAUCCCGUUAAAGGGAUCUGGGAGGAGUGGCCAUGUUUGCGUGCCCAAGCGGGGCCAGGGCCAAAGACACUCCCCCAGACAGCGGUCCCUGCGGGGGUCGCCCUAUUUGAUGUAAGUCUUAGGAACCCCUGCCUGGAUUGACCACACGUCACUUUGGGCGGGCAGGUCAGAAGGAUCUAGAUUGCCUCAUGCCCAAGCCAAACCUCUUUCAUCUGUAUUCAAUAAAGUUGUGGCCUGUUUUGACCCUAAACCAGUCUUAUUGGUCUCUUAUUUAUAUGGGUUGAGGUAUGGGAAUCCCAAUGCCUGGUUCUGCAACACCCAUCAAUCAUGACUAUUGACCAUUGUUGACUAGGACUGCUGGGAAUGGAAGUACGUCAAAACAAAUUCAAUACCUUGCUACGCAAAUACAGUUAUCACUAUACACAAAGUGCAACAGGCUGGAUAAUAAUAACUGUAAACAUUUUAUUGGUUAUUUCCUAAUGUAAAAGUCUAGCCCAGUAUGUGCAACAUAUACAGUUCAUAUGUACAGUAUAUAACCUAUGACACUAAUUACAAUAUUAAUACACUUCUUAUCUUAUUUUUUCUUAUUGUAAGUUCCUGUAUAACACAGUCCUUAGGUGGAAACAGAAAAGUCCUCAAGGUAACAAGAAAACACAGCUGAUGUAGACUGCUGGCACAAGCUGGCUGGUGCAAGUGCAAACUGCUAACUUGGGCAGAACAAGGUUUCCGGAUAUCUCCCUUGUUCCACCCCGAAGGGCUUCCUCAGCUGAUAUUAAAUCUAUACAAUAUAAAUAAACGCAUGGUAAUACAAUAUUUGGUAUCCAAGGUAUAAUAAUAGUGAAUAUUACUAAAAAUAUAGUACUGAAAAAUAUAGUACACAAAUGUUAUUAAAAAAUCCAGAAGCCAUACAUACCGUCAGUGUGUAUAACAGGUACGUAAGUAAUUGUACAUGAAUGAGCUCUUAAUCAUCCCUAAGACAUCUUAAUAAAGUGGUACCUCAGGUUAAGUACUUAAUUCGUUCCGGAGGUCCGUUCUUAAAUGGAAACUGUUCUUAACCUGAAGCACCACUUUAGCUAAUGGGGCCUCCCGCUGCUGCUGCGCCGCCGGAGCACAAUUUCUGUUCUCAUCCUGAAGCAAAGUUCUUAACCCGAGGUACUAUUUCUGUUGUUAGCGGAGUCCGUAACCUGAAGCAUAUGUAACCUGAGGUACCACUGUAUGGGCUUUGGGGAACAGGGGUUCAAUCUGUCGGUUCCCCGCAAUCUACACAGAAACAGUGGCCUGUGCUAAUCUCUUAAUAAUGGCAGACAAGGGUACUUGUGGGUCAUCGGUGCGGAUGGCACAAUUCAUAAAAUGAAAGGAUGCCCUGAACCUGGCCUUGUGGCACUUUUGGCUUCCGAAAUUUGCUUCCCAUUAAAAUGCUGAAUCAAGAGCACUGGAUGGUAAGUUGUGCGUUCCUUGUUUCUGUGCAUGUUCAGGGAAGUGCUGGGAGGGGGCACCGAAUCUGGGACUAGGUGCAGAACCCAACAUCAACAUAUGGAACUGGCAGUAGUGGUAUAAGGGGGGGAAAUUAUGAGAGGUGGCACAGAAGGGGCAUUAGAUAUUUCUAGGUGGGGGAGAAAGAAAAAUAACAGCACCUAUUAAUGACAGGAGUUCAGAAAUGGACAGGGCAAGUGGGGGAAGCUCCUUAUGUGUGGGGGCAUGUGUUUGUGCCCCUGCCUGCCCCCCAGCACCAUCUAUGGGAACUAAAUGCAGCAUCUCUGUUUCCAUGUUGUCUGUGCUAGCCUAUGGGAAGACAAGUCCAGUGUUUAUGCUGAAAAUAGAACUCUUCUGUCUUCUUCUGAUAAGAAAGGCUUAACAUAAAAGUCAGUGGUGAAGUUUGCAACUGAAUAGUUUCAUUCCUCUGUACAAUGCCACAAGGCACAAACCGUAAUCUUAUGCAAUAAGAAAGGAUAAUAAUAAUCCUUUCUCUGGUUUACCUUUGAAGGCCGAUGUCCUCAACAGGAAUAGUUAGUUCAUGGGAUCAUCGCUAAAGCUCUGGUGUUUCUCGUUGAAAUAUAAUUUGUAAAGUGGCAGAAGCUAAUUGUUCUCUGAAUUUGGCCUUGGUUGUGGAAUUUUACAAAGGAGGUUUUAUGGGACUCUGAGCUAUUGCAACCCCCCGCCCUGUGCUUUGUGCAUUAUUUCCUUGUAAAAUGUUCAAUUCCUUUGGAAAAUUCCUGGCCCCAUUACUAGGACUUUAGAAGAUGGUUUACCCCUGCAAAAUGGAGAUUGAAAUGUGUAGUAUUGUAGGAUGUACAGUUUCAAAAACACCCCCUUUGUAUUGUCAUUGGGUUUUCCAGAAACCGCUGUAACCUCUGGUGACCUUACCCCCCCAAAAAAUUUCCAUUACAAAGAAUAAUACAUGAGCCAUCUUUUAUCAGUCCUCUUUGAGUCUGCGGUGAUGGAAAUAGCAGAACAUAUUAACAUGCUGAAAAAGGCAGACAGAUAUCGUUGACAAGAGAUAUAAGAUCCUUAUACGUUGGGCAGAAAUGUAGUAUUCAGAUUUCUCUGCUGGUAUCUCACAGAGACAUCAACUAUCAGGCUUUGUGCUGCUGGGCAGAGACUCCUUCAACAUAUUAUUAGUCAAUUUAGCAUUUCAGCAAGCUCUGAAGUGUCUGAAAUAGUUGAGGGAUUGGGGCUACGACAGAAAUAGAUAAGACCUUUGGAUAAAACAGCUUAGCUGUGUUUAAGAAAAUCUCCAUAGGGUUUAAGAAAAUGUUGAUGUCAUAGAAUCGGUAGUUCUACCAACAUUCUUCUGGAGUAACAUCUAUGGUAAAACUAUAACCACAUCCCAGUUACAACCGCUUCCUGACCUCCUCUACUACAAACCGAGGCAAAUCCCUCUUGAAUAAUGGUGUGAAUUGAGCCAGUUAAAACAGUGCAGUAGAUAGAAGCAACAAAAUGGGAUCUGGAAUAUUUUGUAGUCUUAUCUCUCUGUAUGCAACUGAGCUACAGUAAGUCUGGAGCCUCUGGCACAUCAGGCAAGGAUUUAGCUUGUGAGUCAUCCAUGAGAAUUUUCUCAAGGAGGGGAUUACCGGACAACCUACUACAAGACUUGCAAGAAAGAGCUUGAGUUGCAAUAGACCAGAGCAAAUCAUGUGAGAAGGCAGGGCAAGGGGGAGAAAUUCACUUUGGUUGGAAUUUUUAAAUUCAAACUUUUCCAGUUUGCACUUUCUAAAACAAUAUGUGAACAGGAAGACAACUGAUGCUUCCCUGUUAUUGAGUUGGUUGACAAAUGGAGAACUGGUGACUUCUUCAAGUCUGUCCCAUCAACUCCCAUCAACAGUGAGAACUGUUGAGUCUGUCCUUUGCUGAAUAAUCUGAGGUUGUAAAUCUCUUGAGCCAGUUAGUGUCCAGGAUAAGUAAAAUCAUUUGUUAUUGAUUAUGAAGAUGAUGUAUAGAUGGUACUCGACUCCUGUAAAACUAGCAAAGAUUUAUCACAAUAGUGAUAACCUUUGUUGGAAAUGUAAAGAAAAAGAAGGUACUUUUUUCCAUAUGUGGUGGACUUGUCCCAAGGUGAAAGACUUCUGGGAGAUUUAUAAUGAACUGAAAAAAAUGUUGAAAUAUACAUCUAUUAAGAAACCAGAGGCCUUUCUUCUUGGAAUAACAGGUUUAGAAUUGCCCAAGAAAGAUGUUAAAUUAUUUUUGUAUGCCACAAUGGCCACCCGAAUAUUACUUGCUAAAAAUUGGAAAACACAAGAACUACCAACAGUGGAAGAUUGGCAGAUGAAGAUGAUGGACUUUUCGGAGCUAGCUGACCUGACUGGAAGAAUCCGCAACCAGAAAGAAGAGGAGUUUCAAGAGGACUGGAGGAAAUUUCAAGGACUAUUUGAAUAAAUAUUGUAAUAUAAAAAAUCAGAAAUUGCUUGAAAGAAACAAAUAGGCCUAAGAUUAAAUUAAGUUAUAAUUAAAUAAAUGGGAUUUAGAAUGUUAAGAAAAGUGAAUAAGAUGGACUAUAAUUGGAAAUUGUUUUAGUUUAAUAAUGAUAUUGGAAAGCUGUUACUUUUAAUUACAAGGAAACUCAGAAGGGAGGGAUUUGAGGAAGUCAACCAAGAUGUUUAAAAAGUUGGAUUUGUGAAGAAUUAAGUUUGUUGUUAUUGUUUAUCUGUUUAUUGUUCCCCCUUUCCCCCUUUUUCUUUUUCUUUUCUUUCUUCUUUCUUCUUUUUCUUUUUCUGUUUCUGUGUAUCAUUUUGCUUUGUGGUUUGUGUUAUCACUGUGGAAAAUCUAAUAAAAAAUUAUUAAAAAAUUAAAAAAAUAAAAUCAUUUGUUAUUGUGAUGAUCUUCUUCUUUGGCGAUCACUCGUAGCCUAGUAAGAUUGUCUUCCAUGAACACUGGCGAACUAAUGCUAUACAAAUUGAACCAUGGAAGAAGAAGGGAAGUCAUUGACGUUUAAGGUUGUUGAGUGAAUAUUUUAAAUUGUAAAUUAGAAAACUUAAUUAAAAAAUGAUACACAAAAGAAAAAAGAGAAGCUGACCAACUGCAGGAGGUGUGGCGGACUUUUCCAGUUAGCCCAUAUUGACAUCCUUUGUAUUCCUCAUCAUUAAUCAGCUAAUGCAAAUGAUCAGUCUCUGCUCAACAGGUAUGUUAAGCUGGAAACACUAGGAGCGUGUCCUACUGACAGGUGGUUUGUCCCAGAGUCUCUAGUACACUGUGUACUGACUAAAAACAGCUUAUACAGAGAGAGAGAAAUGUCUAGACUAGCCUCAGAGUACAGUGGCCUCAGCAUUUCUUUCAUCCUUCCUGGUCAGAGACCUAAACAUUGCAAAACAGCCUGGGUAUUUAGACUGCGAUCCCGAGUGCAUGAACUUGAAAAUAAGUUUCACUGAAAUCUAUAGGUCUUCUGGGCAAAUAUGUCUGGGGUAAGGGCGACUUCUUUCCCCACAUCUUCUUCCUACACAAUAUUGUUGAAAAUGUAAUCUUUGGUUUCCGCCUCACUAGAGAUUGCUGCAGGAAGCUUUUCUUGCUAUUCUUAGGUUUUGCAAAGCUGAACUACCCAUGUAGACAUGCUUCUUAACUCCUAGUCUAAAGCCACAUUUAUUUCUUUCUCUCUUUCCUUCUUUCCUUCCUUCCUUCCUUUUUGACAUCUUUAUUGAAAGUUCAAAAAGUACAUAAUUAUAUCUGCACUAAACAUCAUGAGACAUAAAUAAGAGAGAGAGAGAGAGAGAGAGAGCGCACGCACCAGUGUAGCAGGGAAAAUAAAGAGGGGAGGAAACCCAAAACGGUAUACUUUAAAAAGUUGUUAGUGUACUUCACCAGAUCUUAACCUACUACAGUAUGUGUAAGAAUGGAUUCCAAAUGUCACUGAAUUUGUCCAUGGCAAGUCUGUGUUUAUAUGCAAGUUGUUCAUAUGUGUAAGUGGUCGAUCCAAUCAUAGAAGGGAGCCACAUUUUUAUUUUUCCAUUUCAUCAGUAUCAGUCUUUUUGCUGUGGUCAGGGCAUGGAGAGUCCACUCGUAUUGUUCUUUUGUAAGGUUCCAUGUACUGGGUAUAUAAUUCAAGAGGAUAUUUUGCUCUGUAAAUGUAAGGUUGUUCCUUUCAGUUUUGUUGAUGGUUUCAGUUACCUUCUGCCAAAAAUCUUUAUCUCUUGCCACAUUUCUUUAUCUCUAGCACACAUUCCUCAACAACUCGUCUGUGCCCUUUCCAGGUACACAAAGAUGUGUGUGGUACAUCUAGGAUUACAGCCUGAGCCAAAAAAGAACAGUUUGGUCUUGGAAAAGACACAACAAACAUGCAGCAGAAAGAAAGCAGCAACAGCAUUCUUGCCAUGAUAAUGGUCUCAAAGUGUACCUUCUGAAAGAUACAUAAUACUUUCCCUUGGGAAUUCCAGACUUGGUCUCCAUCACAGCAAAGCACAAUUCACAGUUAUUUGCAUUUUUCAGCAGUACAAUUGUCAAAUGCCCAUUAGUUUAAGAGGAGGAGCUCAUAAUUCAUAAUUCUCAAAGAAUGCAAUGCCUGGACUUUGUUUCUAAAUAACAUAAAUUUAUUUCUAAAUAAGCUCCCGCUGAAGAUGGGAAGUCACUUUUUCAUGCUGCAUGAAAAACAACACAAAGUUCUGCAGCAUCUUAAUGGUAGCACAUUUGUUGUGGUGUCUACACCUUUGCAAAGGAUCCAUCAUCAAUCUCUCACUGACUGUGGCAACAAAUGGUUUGAGUGAAUCUGGACUGAAAUCAUGGUGGUUGCAUAAAUUCACCUUAAGUGCACAUUGUCCUAUUUCUUUGAUGGAUUCCUCGUUUGUUUGGCAGAUCAGCUCACAGGAAUGAAGGCGGUACAACAAAAUACAGGCAGUAUCUGCAAAUCUGAGGUGGUGUUGAGUUUUAGCAGUGUGUGUGUAACAUCUGUUCAUUUACAAUUUAAAAACUGGAGGUUGAGGGAACACGUGAACCUCAUAAACAGGAUGGCCAUGUAUCCUACUUUACAGAGGACAGUUUGAAGGGCUUUCCUAUAUUUGGGGGGAUCCUAUGGGUUAAACCACAGAGCCUAGGACUCGCCGAUCAGAAGGUCGCGGUCGAAUCCCUGCAAUGGAGUGAGCUCCUGUUGCUUGGUCUCUGCUCCUGCCAACUUAGCAGUUCGAAAGCACGUCAAAGUGCAAGUAGAUAAAUAGGUACCUCUCUGGCGGGAAGGUAAACGGCGUUUCUGUGCGGUGCUCUGGUUCGCUAGAAGUGGCUUAGUCAUGCUGGCCACAUGACCCGGAAGCUGUACGCUGGCUCCCUCAGCCAAUAAAGUGAGAUGAGCGCCGCAACGCCAGAGUCGGCCAUGACUGGACCUAAUGUUCAGGGGUCCCUUUACCUGUACCUUUAUAUUUGAAAGGCUGUCGGGACCAAGUCCAGUUUUUGGAAAACAACCCAGGAAGGUGCAGGUCACAUUUUAGCUGAAAACUCCAAAGUGCUGCCAAAGACCUGCAAAUUGCCCCCUGCAACAUUGGGUGGUGCAAACGCUGCAUUACCAGGUAGGCCAAAAAAAGAGCCCAGGGCACCCUAACCCGCAGGUGUUGCAGUCCUUUGCUGCCAGCCAACAAGCCAAAUCUCAGGGGUGUACUUGCCUGGAGGUAGAGUCUGUAUAAAAGGUCCAGUCCAGUCCUAAGUUCAGGAGUAUCUCAGUUUAUGUACCGUAUUUUUCACUCUAUAAGACACACUUUCAAGUUAUCAUGAGCAAGCAAUUCUUAUCAAGCUGAGAGAGAGACAUUUUGCUUAGUCAAAAAGUGUGUUUAGGAGCCAAAACACUAUUAUUCAGAAAGGUAAUGUUAUCUAGAGCUUAUUUAGAAAUAAAGCCCAGGCAUCCAUGAGCAUUAUGAAUUAUUAUUAUUUUUAAAAAUAAUUUAUUUAAAAUGCAUUUAUUUUAAAAAUUUAUUUAUUUAUUUAUUUGCAUUUUUCAAAUUAAAAUUUUACAAUAACAUAUCAACGUACAAUAUAGAAACAAGAUUCCACAGAAUCUCCUGGACUUCCCUCCUCCCCUUUGUGGGUCCUAUUGUUAGUUCUUUCCUCUUGUAUCUUUUAUAAUAAUCCAAAUCUUUUGCAUCUCCAUUAUGCCCAAAAUUCACCAUUAAACUGCAAGUGUUAAUCCAAUCCCACUAAUGAGCAUUAUGAAUUAAUGGUGAACAGCCAUGAGGGUCCGUAGAUAAUAGUGCAUAAACAACGACCCAAAAUAUGAAAAUAGUACUAUACUGUUCUCUUUCUCUCUCUCCCUCUCUCUCAUAUCAUAAAACAAAAAGAUGUAAAUAUAUCAGAAGAUGGUGCAUUGAUUAAAUGCCCAUUUAACUCUUGGUCUUUUUCAAUCCCAUCUACUUAAUCUAGCGUGUCACUGUUAGUAGACCCUCAGCCUAAACUGUUUAAUUUGGAAGGCCUUCAAACCAGGGACUUUUCAACCAUCUUGAAAUCCUUUUGAGUGAGCUCUGCUUAUUUGCAUCAUUUAAGAACUAGGGCAGUCUGGAAUGAAAUGGAGAGACAGUCAACAGACUCGCCCAGGUGAAGCUUUCACAACACUGCUUUUAAUCAAAGCCUAAUUGCUGCUCAUUAAGUGAAUCCAGAAGCAUUGGCUGAUGUAAGACGCUAGCAGACUUGAGAACUGAAACCUUCUGAGAUCACAGCAGAUCCAGAACGAGAAGGACAUGGGCAUAUUUCCCUGUGUAUCUCAGAGCCAUACUUGACACGGGCCCCCCAGAUGUUGUUGGAUUACAACUCCCAUGACCAUUGACUGUGGUGAUAGGGCUGCCAUACGUCCAGGAAUUCCUGGACAUGUCCUCUUUGGGGGGUCCUGACGCGGGUGGCGCUGUGGUCUAAACCCCUGAGCCUCUUGGGCUUGCCGAUUGGAAAGGUUGGCAGUUCGAAUUCAUGCGAUGGGGUGAGCUCCCGUUGCUCUGUUCCAGCUCCUGCCAACCUAGGUACUGCUCCGGUGGGAAGGUAAAUGGAGUUUCCGUGUGCUGCUCUGGUUCACCAGAAGUGGUUUAGUCCUGCUGGCCACAUGACCUGGAAAGCUGUCUGUGGACAAAUGCCAGCUCCCUUGGCCUGAAGUGAGAUGAGCGCCACAACCCUGUAGUAACCUUUGACUGGAUUUCUCACUUGCCACUCAUUUGCAGGGGCGUUACUUAAGUACUGAGGGGUGUGGCCCUUCCCCUAGUAUCAGGCAUGCUCCCUGACCAUAUCUGCCCUGUUUGUGUGGUCGUCUGCAAGUGAAAAGCCUUUCCUCAUUUUAGUGUAGUAUUAGUAUAAUUUCAAUUUAUUACCUGCUGUUCGCUGUAAGGUCCCAGUGCAUCUAAGAGUUUAUUAUGCCACUAUUCACCAGUAGGCCCCAGAGAUGUUUACAUUGGUAAACAAUUCAACAGAAUUCAAAUCAAAUAUAAUUAAAACAAUUCCUUGACUCCAACACAAAGAAUAAUAUUUUAAAUGGCAGCAUUGAGUUGUUAAUCAAUUCUGCAUAAAUCUGAGUGUAAAAAGCUAGCAGUUCAUUUCCUCAGCUGAAAGAGGUUUGCCUUAAUCUCUUUUCUAAAAGCGCAUAAUGAAGAGGUCAGAUGUACCUCAGGGGACUAUGAAGUAAGCCCUUCCCUAGGUCCCCAUGCUGUAUAUUAUACAUGUCCUCCACCUGCAUCAAAUUCCAUGCCAAACCAUCCAUUGACAUCAAAAACCUAUUGACAAUGGCAGCAAAUCGCUUUACUCUUAAACUAUGAGUCUUCUUCUAGUAGGUCCGAACAAGAGAUGUCAGAAGGCAUCCCAUUCGGUUCUGCUUUCUAUUCAUUGCAUGCAGCACCUUUUCCUUUCCACUGCAAUUCAUCUCCCACCAAAAAAGAAAGCAUCGUUUGCCAUGCCGCCUGCGAUGGUGAAGCUACAUAACUUACAUAAUCAAUUGCAAUAGAUUACAUUGUUGUUGCUUGGUUCCAAUGGAAAGGGUGGUGUCAUUAAUUGUGUGGCAUUUGCAGACCGAAAGCAACAACAAGAGCGAGAGCCGUUUGCAUUCAGUGGAUUAGUUUCCCUUUCAGACAUGGGACAAAUAUGUGGCCAUUUCUGCUGUUGUUUCCAUUUUUGUCACAGUUAUCCCACACCCCUAUUUAGGAGCCAUGAAUGGAUAAAAAACAGCAAGAUACCCCUGGACAGUUAAGUUAUGGUUACCAGAUUUUUUUCAAUGAAUCCAGGGAAACUUUUUUUUUUUUUUUUAAGCUGAGUAGCAACAGGGAGUCAGUAGUGGGGAUGGUGAGGCAAAAGACUCUGGGCCCAAGCACACAUGCAUAUUGUAUAACGGUGCAAAGCGCUUCUUUUGCACCCUGUGAAACAUAAAUCUGCAGGAUUUUUUUUUAAAAAAAACUGGGCAACACCCGCCCACCUGCAACUCCUGAGCCUCCCUCGAUCAGGCAAAACAAAGGGGGGAGGGGGGAAGGAGAUCGGGGGAGGCUCAGGAGUUGUGGGUGGGCGGCCAUUGCCCAGUUUUUUUAAAACUCUGCGCAUUUAUGUUUCACAGGGUGCAAAAGAAGGGCUUUGCACCUUGCCUGGCAGAGAAACCGCGUGCCCUGAGCCCCUCCUGGGCAACGGCCGCCCUCCCACGACUCCCGAGCCUCCUCCAAUCUGUCAAAACAAAGGAGGAAGGGGGAAGGAGAUCUGUACCACCGAACAUCCCCGGUUCCUCUUCAGCAGUGGUGGCAGCAGCGAGCUGCGAGCAGCUCCUGAAGCCAGCUAGAGCUAACUGCACUACCAGGUAGGCUCCGGGCUUCUGAGACUGCUGCUGCCACAUUUCCCGGGGUCAGAUUUGCAAAUCCGGGCACGGAAUUUGUCCGGGGACAGAUUUGCAAAUCUGGGGACUGUCCCCAGGAAGCGGGGAUGUCUGGCAACCCUAAGUUAAGUCCAGUCAAAGGCAACUAUGGGAUUGUGGUGCUCAUCUCGCUUUCAGGCCAUGGUAGCUGGCGUUUAUCCACAGACAGCUUUCUGGGUCAUGUGGCCAGCAGGACUAAACCACUUCUGGUUCAACGGAACACCGUGACAGAAGCCAGAGUGCAUGGAAAUGCCGUUGACCUUUCCACCGCAGCAGUACCUAUUUAUCUACUUGGACUGGCAUGCUUUUGAACUGCUAGGUUGGCAGGAGCUGGGACAGAGCAACAGGAGCUCACCCCAUUACACGGAUUUGAACUGCUGACCCUCUGAUCAGCAAGCCCAAGAGGCUCAGUGGUUUAGACCACAGCACCACCCGCAUCCCAUGACUGGAUAACAGCCCCACCAAUGGAAGAUUAUAGCCUCAGGCGGCAUGUGGAGGACAGUGGCGGAAGCCCACUAGCUGUUCUCCCCUAUCACCACCCUUCUUUGGGGGGACAAACCCUUCUUUUGGGGGACAAAGCUUUGUGUGCCAUGCAGUCCAUUCUGGGUCUGGGUCUGAAAAGGCUGGAGACUUCUGCUUUAAACCACAGGUCUACAUAUAGCACAAAAUACAGAACCACCCGCAUGGCUUUUACUAAGGCUGCUAUACAUCCGGGUUUUCCGAUUUUCGGCAAAUAGACAAAAAUGUCCGGGGAAACUCGGACGUGGGGCAAGGGGUGGUAAUAUUUUCAGGAAAAGCAUUAAAAAAUACAAAAAAAGGCAUGGAAAAUGAGCGAGGUCCCAACUAAAGAAGAAUGGCAACUUAAACUGAUGGAAUAUGCACAGUUUGCAGAUCUAACAUACAGAAGAAAACAAGAAGAACAUAUUUUUAAAGAAGACUGGAAAAUGUUUAUUGACUAUAUGGGGGAAAUUGUGUACACUUGAAAACACUGGCAGCAUUAAGAUAAAUUCAACAGUAUAAGUAAGUUUUGAUGGAUGUAAUAAUGGAAUACUGAAUGGUUUGGUUUAUGAAAAAUAUGCAGGAAUUUAUGGUAUGCAAAAUGAACCAUGGAAAGAAGAAGGGAAGUCAUUGAUAUUUUAAGGUUGUUUAAAUGAAUAUUCUAAAAUGUAAAACAGAAAAUAUAAUAAAAAUUAUAGGAAAAAAAUAAAACAAAGGCCAAAACCCUAGAUUUUGGGGGGAGAUGCUCUCCAAAAAAGCUCAACAACUUAGAGCAAAAACAAACCAAACAACAAAACUCAACAUCUUAGUCUGGGUUUUCACUUGGGGGAAUAAGGCAACCCUACUUUUACAGAAUGUCACUCUCAGUCGAAAGCUACAAACAGAGAGUUGGCAUGAAAGAUGCAGAGACGCUCAACUUCAAACGUUUGUACUGGUGCCAACAAAAACAGCACUGUGUGUGCCAGAAUGCACGCAUUGCAUCAGUGUUUAUUCAGUGCUCUUAAAUAAAAAUAAAACAUAAAAAAAAAGUUGGGCCAGAGCCAGCCCUGAAAGAAGCAGGCUAAAUACCAGGAAUAUUAGUAGUGCUGCCCACAUUUCUAUCAAAACAGAAUUAAGACAACUAUGCUUAAAACGGGUUUUAAAGGUUACAAAGGGUUUUGAAUGGGCUGUACUUAAGACUUGUCUUAACUCCCACAGUUGAUUCUUGGGUGUGAACUGACAAAGGAGUGUCAGGUGUAAUUUUGAAGGCAACACAAAGGAUAGGUAAAACAGGCAGCAGCUAGGCAUGUCGGGUGUGGGUGUUCUUCAGUCAGAAGAAGAUUGCUGGGAAUGAUCAGGCCAAACAUAGUACAGUGGUACCUCGGGUGGGGACCAACCAUACCUGGAGCACUUUACAGCAUGUUAUGGUCUAAUAGAAAAUUAUAUAAAAAUGAUUUAUUGAUGGUAUCUAACACUGAGUAAGUUAGCAAAAAUGUAUAAAUCAAAAUCAAAUAAGUGUUGGAAAUGUAAUGAGAAUGAAGGUUCUUUUUAUCAUAUGUGGUGGUCUUGUAGUAAGGUUAAAGCUUACUGGGAAAUGAUAUAUAAUGAAAUGAAAAGGAUGUUUAAAAUAAACUUUGUAAAAAAAAAAUCCCCCCAAAAACCCCCAGAAAGCUUUUCUUUUGGGAAUUAUAGGGACAGAGCUACCUAAACUGUAUAGAAACUUAUUCAUGUAUGCUUCUACAGCGGCAAGAAUGUUACUUGCCCCAAAAUGGAAAGAAACAGAACUCCCAGCAAAGGAAGAAUGGAUACAACAGCUUAUGGAAUAUUCAGAAAUGGUGAAACUUACUGGGAAAAUAAGAAAUCAAGAUAACAAAAAAAAUUUAAUAAAAGAAUGAAAAUGGUUUAUUGAAUAUUUACAGAUAAAUUAUAAACAGAUAAAAACAUUGACAGGCUUACAGUGGUACCUCGGGUUACAGACGCUUCAGGUUACAGACGCUUCAGGUUACAGACUCCGCUAACCCAGAAAUAGUACCUCAGGUUAAGAACUUUGCUUUGGGAUAAGAACAGAAAUUGUGCGGUGGUGGCGUGGCAGCAGUGGGAGGCCCCAUUAGCUAAAGUGGUGCCUCAGGUUAAGAACAGUUUCAGGUUAAGAACGGACCUCCAGAAUGAAUUAAGUUCUUAACCCGAGGUACCAUUGUACCUGCCAGGGUUUCAGACAACCUUACAGAAUCACUGAACCCCUUAUAUUUCAACACCAAACCACCAAUCAUUUCCCAGUCAUUAGGUAACGUUGUAAGGUAAUGGUACACUUAGCCAAUAAAGACACAAAACUAAUUAAAACUAAUUAUUAGUCUUUGAGAGCAGCAUGAAGCUAGAAGCAGCUGUACAGGGAGCAGCCAGUGAAAAGAGUACAUGAAUAUCCAUUCAUGACUCAGCCUUUCUUCUUAAAUUCUGAGCGCUGUCAUGACACCUUUGCCAUCAAGUCGAUAACAGUAAAAGAUGCAAUAAAGGGAGAAGCAAAAAUUCCGGAACAUUUGCUUGUGCUUUUUGUACAUUUAGUGUGCGAGUCAAAUAAAAGACCCACCAAAAUAAAUAUUCGUUCUUGUAACUUGAAGCCAUUGCCUCGAGUCCAGGGGCACAGCUAGCUGCUCCUAGUGUGGGGCCCCAAGCAACCGCAUCACUCCCAGGGCAUG